AUGGAAAUGCUUAGUGAACCUGGGCCAGGUACGAUGCCUUUACCGCCGGCCGGGUCUGAAGUCUUUACAGAGAUGCGCGUGUUGCUGCCAAACGGUGACCCGGCUGAGUCCCAGAAAAUGAAGAUGUGGGAACCCCAGAAGAGAGAGAGCAUGAGCAUGGGCUGCUCAAUUCACAUUGUUGGAAUUUUCCACCGAGCCAUAGGGUGGACAUCCAUGCAGGAGACACAGUUAAAACCCAUUUUUUUUCAUUCAAUGCAUCAAACCUGUGGAUGACUAUUCUGUUCUUGGAUUGAACAUUUCUGUCAGAUUCCCUACAAAGUCCAUCUCCUUGCUUGCUCCUGGUGUGCAAGCCACACUCUUGGUGUAUUUCUCCUGUUCUCCUGGCCUUAUCAUGUCAUGAGUCCUUGGGGCUCUUCCAUUCUGGAAUAGGUACUCUCCUUUCAUUCACAGAAAUGUGUUUUUCUCUAAUGACUCAAUAUUUAUAAAUGCAAUUUCUCCUCUGACGUCUGGUCGUGAGUGGUUGACAGUCUCUGCAAUGUCUCCAUUUUUAUUUCUCAAAGGCAGCCGGCAUCACCAAGUCCCCCAAACCUAGGGUUCUUCUUUUUUCCCUGUUUGAUUGACAGCUGCCACCUGCUCUUGCUCCUUUGUCUUCUUAACAGUCAAAUAUAUGCAAAGACCAAAAAUGAACUCUGACCGUGUGCAAAAGCUAAUUAGGAAGGGAUCGCCGGUCUACUUGUUAAACACCGAAUUACAAACGUUCUGUAAGCAAACAUAGGAGCAAAACGGUGACCUCCAUGUAGGCAAAGAUGCUUUAGAUAGCACAGCAAAUGCAUGAUUCAUGCAAACCGGAGAGAAAAAAAAAUGAUACCAGGUGGGGGGGCUUCAUUAAAAUUUCUUAAAUGUCACUUUCAAAAUCACAUUUUAUGAAUGUGAACAGGCAAGCUGCGUACCGACAGAUCCUAUUUGUAUGUCAUGGGGCCAAUAUCUUUUUUCUUUUUUAAAAAAAUUUUAUUUAUUUAUUUAUUUAUUUAUUUAUUCAUUUAUUUAUUUAUUAUUUUAAGAUUUACUUAUUUUAGAAAAAGAGAGCUUGCAAGCAGUGGGAAGGGCAAAGGCAGAGGGAGAGAGAGAAUCUCCAGGAGACUCCCUCUAAGCAGAGUCCAACAUGGCGCUUGAUCCCAGGACCCCGAGAUCAUGACCUGAGCUAAAAUCAAGAGUCCGAUGCCCACCCCAAACCUUUUAAAAAAGAUUUACUCAUUUAUUUGGGGGGCCAGGAGCUUUUUAAGAUGCCCUGGCACUAUUUUAACACUGACCUAACAGGAAGAGCUGACUGUGGGGACAUGGGCAUCCCUCUUCUGCUGGACAGGUGCAUUCACCUGCACACACUGGGUAUGGACUGCACCAGUGAAGCAAGGUCUGGCGACUCUCAGGUACAUAGUGUUUAUUUUCUAUAAAAAACAUACAGAACUAGGGCACCUAGAUGGGUCAGUUGGUGAAGCAUCUCUCUUUGGCUCAGGUCAUGAUCUCUGGGUCCUGGGAUCAAGUCUCAGGUCACACUUUGUGCUCAGCGGAGAGUCUGCUUCUCUCUCUGCCCCUCACGCCCCACUUGUGUUCACUCAAAUAAAUACAUAAUAUCUUAAAAAAAAAACA
rnacentral:lncRNA from 12 species